UACGGAGGGUGCAAGCAUUAAUCGGAUUUAUUGGGCGUAAAGGGCGCGUAGGCGGGUAGAUAAGUCAGAUGUGAAAUCCUGGAGCUCAACUCCAGAACUGCAUUUGAAACUGUCUGUCUAGAGGGUAGGCGGAGAAAAUAGAAUUCCACAAGUAGCGGUGAAAUGCGUAGAUAUGUGGAAGAAUACCAGUGGCGAAGGCGAUUUUCUAGCUUAUACCUGACGCUGAGGCGCGAAAGCAAGGGGAUCAAACAGG
rnacentral:rRNA from 1 species